CUGACUGCUAUCGGAUUGAUACUAAGCCAUGCGAGUCUUUGUAGUAAUACAAGGCAGACGGCUCAGUAACGCGUAGUCAAUCUACCCUAUGGACGGGGAUAACCUCGGGAAACUGAGAAUAAUACCCGAUAGAACAUUAUGCCUGGAAUGGCUUAUGUUCCAAAUGAUUUAUCGCCGUAGGAUGGGACUGCGGCCUAUCAGUUUGUUGGUGAGGUAAUGGCCCACCAAGACUAUUACAGGUACGGGCUCUGAGAGGAGUGGCCCGGAGAUGGGUACUGAGACACGGACCCAGGCCCUAUGGGGCGCAGCAGGCGAGAAAACUUUGCAAUGUGCGAAAGCACGACAAGGUUAAUCCGAGUGGUUUCUGCUAAAGGAACCUCUUGUCGGUCCUAGAAACACCGAUGAAUAAGGGGUGGGCAAGUUCUGGCGUCAUCCGCCGCGGUAAAACCAGCACCUCAAGUGGUCAGGAUGAUUAUUGGGCCUAAAGCAUCCGUAGCCGGCUCUGUUAGUUUUCGGUUAAAUCUGUACGCUCAACGUACAGGCUGCCGGGAAUACUGCAGAGCUAGGGAGUGGGAGAGGUAGACGGUACUCGUGGGAAGGGGUAAAAUCUUUGGACCUUUUGGA
rnacentral:rRNA from 1 species